AAAAUCACCACUAUGAACAACCCGAAAUAACCUCAAAAACCCGCCGUUUCAGCAGAGCUGGCUGCAAUGCAUAAGUCGGAAUGGGGUGGAGAUGUCUCAGCUGCCCCCCCGGAGCCAAGAAACGGGAGAAACGGGCAAUUUUUAUAGGUGACGUACGGGCUUACGUGGAAAUCCGUGCCCAGCACUGCUCUUUCAGCUUCUUUUUCUCCUGAAAUAACCCUUCCGAGAAGCUCGUACCCCCCUAUUCCAGCUCUCAACCCCUUUUUUCAGGCUGGGGAGGAGUCGGGAAAGAGGGAAGGAAAAGAGACAAGAAAAGCACCCCAACAUCCCGCUCUUUCCCUGCUCGGGAAGCGAGCCCCGGAGCUCCCAAAGUGAGCGCUGAAGAGGGCGACAGGAGACAGGCGGGAGCCGGCUCCGAGGUGGAGGGGUCGGGGGUGGGAUGAGAACAGAGGAGGAUCCUCCUUUUCGGGAUUAAGGGAGAACCAGCGAAGGAGGGAAGCUGGCGGCACCGCGGGCAUCCGAGGUUUUCGACUCUGGGUGAGCAAAAGGAUUUCUUACACUCCCCGGGAAGAGGAGAAGACGUGCUUUUUUUUUUUUUUUUUUUUUUUUUUUUUUUUUUUUUUUUUUAAUGGUGUUAAUUGCUUUUAAAAUAAAAUACUACGGAAUUUGGCAACAAGCUCCGAUUUCUGCUGGCGAUGGCAUUUUGGCAUUUGGGGUUGUAUUUCCUUUCGUGGCAACUCGCAGAUGCAAAAAAGGAAAAUAACGGGGGAAUUUAAAAACACGAAUGUAAAGGCGAGGCGGCGUGUUUGGCUGUUGCAGAUCUCUCGGGCUCG